GGAAAGGGGAGUGCAAGAGCCAUCCGCACCUGAGAGGCUGAGCAAAGUCACUGAGAGGCCAGGGCAGAGGGAGGAGAGAGAAGAAAAGAAGCCAGCCAAAGACAGAAACCAGCAGAAAGGGCCUCCAGUUUUUUUCUUAGAUUUCCCUGCAGGAUGUCUGCUCAUCUCCAUUAGAAUACCGCUUCCACUUGAAGUUCAUUGUUUGGCUUCAAAUGCCCCUGAGGAAAGACUGGUACCUGUAGGUAGGUGGAGCGCAAUCCCUUUUCCACCUAGCUGUAGUGGUUGGUUGCAGCAUGUUAGUGUGGAACUAUUGUACAAGUUUCUUGCCACAAUUUGCGACAAUAUGCUAAUAAAUUGGAAAACUACCGGUGUUUUAUUCAAUUUUUUUUUCCUCAGUUAACGACAACACAAACCUUAAGGUAUACUGUAACGUUGUGUGUUUUCAUUCCAGGUUAUUUCUCUAAAGAGCAGGUGUAGAUGUUAAUACUGAUAUGUGACAAUAAGGUCUCUUUGCAUAAGAAAUGCCACACAAACAUCCGUUGAGAUUUACUGGCAGGAGAAAAGAUAUGCAGAAGUUAUGAUAGCUGUUCUUAAGCUUAGUUUCUUUUACAUAGUUCUUACAGAGGUUGAGUAGACUGACACAACCACUGAUGUUUGUAACCACAAGGUAAAGUCAUUUUAUCCAGCAGUUUGCAUUUCCUGUGUCUGAGAGAAAAAUUGGUUCUCCUGAGCUUACCUUGUGAGACUUCUGCGGUUUUCUCAUCAAGCUGAUCCCUGCUGCUUGUUGCCAUCCUCUGUCUUGGAAAGUUGCAUUGAAGUUUGCCUGUUUUAUCUUUUUGUAACAAAAAAGGUAUUUAGUAACUUUAUUCUCUGCGACAACAAAAGGGUCUGCUUAGAAUAAGUGCUUUUACAUCGUCUUUGUAUCUGUGCCACAUGCACAGCUUUUCUGACAGGUCUCAGAGUGCCGAAAAAAUAUUUGACAGAUCCUGUUAGUUACGUGUGCUAUCUUAAUGAGUGGAUUGAAGUGCAUAUAUUAAGGUGUGUAUUUAAAAGUCAUACUAGACAUGUUCAUGAUUCUAAAUGUCGGUUGGAAAUAUUUGGAUUCUUGCUUUUGUAAGGAACGCUUCCGCUUCAAAAGCAACUACUAGCAAGUUUAUGGACUGACCUUCAGUGGGCUUUAACACAUCCAGGAUUGUAGUUCAUAAAUGUUGAGUGCUUGUAGCCAGUGUUGAUAGUACAUGCACUUAUCUCUCAAACUGAAAAUUUAACUUAAUAGUCGUAUUUUUGUGAAAAACAAUCUAAUGCUUUUUUUAAAAUAUAUAUAUAUAAGUAUAUAUAUAAAUUUUAAAUUACAGUUCUGUAACACAAUCUGUGCAGCAUACCAGCCUGGGGCAGCGUAG
rnacentral:lncRNA from 1 species